UACAGAGGGGCAAGCGUUGUUCGGAAUUACUGGGCGUAAAGGGCGCGUAGGCGGCCCUGCUAAGUCGAACGUGAAAUCCCCACGGCUCAACUGGGAACUGCGUCCGAUACUGGCAGGGCUUGAAUCCGGGAGAGGGUGCAGAAUUCCAGGUGUAGCGGUGAAAUGCGUAGAUAUCUGGAGGAAUGACCGGUGGCGAAGGCGGCAUCCUGGACCGACAUUGACGCUGAGGAGGCGAAAGCUGAGGGGAGCAA
rnacentral:rRNA from 1 species